ACCUACAUCCACUCUUCAAGCUCCUACUUGAGAAUUUAAAUCCACUAAAAUGUAUUCAACAAAAAUACAACAUCGGUACCUCUGAUUCUAGCUAUUCAAAGCUAGAACACUUAUUUCUCGAGUACAAGCCAAUCCAAUACAAUUUGAUUCAAGGUUCGGAUCAACCUAUCCAAGUUUUAGAAUCCUUCCAAAACUAAAAAUCAAGACAAAAGCAGAGUAAGAGAGUUAAUGACAAGAAAUACAAGUUUAGCUCCUUUAAUGAGCAAAUAAAAUCUUAAAUACACUUUACACAACA
rnacentral:lncRNA from 1 species